GGUUAAGCGACUAAGCGUACACGGUGGAUGCCCUGGCAGUCAGAGGCGAUGAAGGACGUGCUAAUCUGCGAAAAGCGCCGGCGAGGUGAUAUGAACCUUUGACCCGGCGAUGUCCGAAUGGGGAAACCCAGUGUGAUUCGUCACACUAUCGUUAACUGAAUACAUAGGUUAACGAGGCGAACCGGGGGAACUGAAACAUCUAAGUACCCCGAGGAAAAGAAAUCAACCGAGAUUCCCCCAGUAGCGGCGAGCGAACGGGGAGCAGCCCAGAGUCUGAAUCAGCUUGUGUGUUAGUGGAACGGUCUGGAAAGUCCGGCGAUACAGGGUGACAGCCCCGUACACGAAAGCACACAGGUUGUGAACUCGAAGAGUAGGGCGGGACACGUGGUAUCCUGUCUGAAUAUGGGGGACCAUCCUCCAAGGCUAAAUACUCCUGACUGACCGAUAGUGAACCAGUACCGUGAGGGAAAGGCGAAAAGAACCCCGGCGAGGGGAGUGAAAAAGAACCUGAAACCGUGUACGUACAAGCAGUGGGAGCACCUUCGUGGUGUGACUGCGUACCUUUUGUAUAAUGGGUCAGCGACUUAUAUUCUGUAGCAAGGUUAACCGUAUAGGGGAGCCGAAGGGAAACCGAGUCUUAACUGGGCGUUAAGUUGCAGGGUAUAGACCCGAAACCCGGUGAUCUAGCCAUGGGCAGGUUGAAGGUUGGGUAACACUAACUGGAGGACCGAACCGACUAAUGUUGAAAAAUUAGCGGAUGACUUGUGGCUGGGGGUGAAAGGCCAAUCAAACCGGGAGAUAGCUGGUUCUCCCCGAAAGCUAUUUAGGUAGCGCCUCGUGAACUCAUCUUCGGGGGUAGAGCACUGUUUCGGCUAGGGGGCCAUCCCGGCUUACCAACCCGAUGCAAACUACGAAUACCGAAGAAUGUUAUCACGGGAGACACACGGCGGGUGCUAACGUCCGUCGUGAAGAGGGAAACAACCCAGACCGCCAGCUAAGGUCCCAAAGUCAUGGUUAAGUGGGAAACGAUGUGGGAAGGCACAGACAGCCAGGAUGUUGGCUUAGAAGCAGCCAUCAUUUAAAGAAAGCGUAAUAGCUCACUGGUCGAGUCGGCCUGCGCGGAAGAUGUAACGGGGCUAAACCAUGCACCGAAGCUGCGGCAGCGACGCUUAUGCGUUGUUGGGUAGGGGAGCGUUCUGUAAGCCGUUGAAGGUGUGCUGUGAGGCAUGCUGGAGGUAUCAGAAGUGCGAAUGCUGACAUAAGUAACGAUAAAGCGGGUGAAAAGCCCGCUCGCCGGAAGACCAAGGGUUCCUGUCCAACGUUAAUCGGGGCAGGGUGAGUCGACCCCUAAGGCGAGGCCGAAAGGCGUAGUCGAUGGGAAACAGGUUAAUAUUCCUGUACUUGGUGUUACUGCGAAGGGGGACGGAGAAGGCUAUGUUAGCCGGGCGACGGUUGUCCCGGUUUAAGCAUGUAGGCGGAGGUUCCAGGUAAAUCCGGUACCUUUUAACGCUGAGGUGUGAUGACGAGGCACUACGGUGCUGAAGUAACAAAUGCCCUGCUUCCAGGAAAAGCCUCUAAGCAUCAGGUAACAUCAAAUCGUACCCCAAACCGACACAGGUGGUCAGGUAGAGAAUACCAAGGCGCUUGAGAGAACUCGGGUGAAGGAACUAGGCAAAAUGGUGCCGUAACUUCGGGAGAAGGCACGCUGAUAUGUAGGUGAAGCCCCUGCGGGUGGAGCUGAAAUCAGUCGAAGAUACCAGCUGGCUGCAACUGUUUAUUAAAAACACAGCACUGUGCAAACACGAAAGUGGACGUAUACGGUGUGACGCCUGCCCGGUGCCGGAAGGUUAAUUGAUGGGGUUAGCGGCAACGCGAAGCUCUUGAUCGAAGCCCCGGUAAACGGCGGCCGUAACUAUAACGGUCCUAAGGUAGCGAAAUUCCUUGUCGGGUAAGUUCCGACCUGCACGAAUGGCGUAAUGAUGGCCAGGCUGUCUCCACCCGAGACUCAGUGAAAUUGAACUCGCUGUGAAGAUGCAGUGUACCCGCGGCAAGACGGAAAGACCCCGUGAACCUUUACUAUAGCUUGACACUGAACACUGGUCCUUGAUGUGUAGGAUAGGUGGGAGGCUUUGAAGCGUGGACGCCAGUCUGCGUGGAGCCAACCUUGAAAUACCACCCUUUAAUGGCUGGUGUUCUAACGUAGACCCGUAAUCCGGGUUGCGGACAGUGUCUGGUGGGUAGUUUGACUGGGGCGGUCUCCUCCCAAAGAGUAACGGAGGAGCACGAAGGUUAGCUAAUCCUGGUCGGACAUCAGGAGGUUAGUGCAAUGGCAUAAGCUAGCUUGACUGCGAGAGUGACGGCUCGAGCAGGUGCGAAAGCAGGUCAUAGUGAUCCGGUGGUUCUGAAUGGAAGGGCCAUCGCUCAACGGAUAAAAGGUACUCCGGGGAUAACAGGCUGAUACCGCCCAAGAGUUCAUAUCGACGGCGGUGUUUGGCACCUCGAUGUCGGCUCAUCACAUCCUGGGGCUGAAGUAGGUCCCAAGGGUAUGGCUGUUCGCCAUUUAAAGUGGUACGCGAGCUGGGUUUAGAACGUCGUGAGACAGUUCGGUCCCUAUCUGCCGUGGGCGCUGGAGAAUUGAGGGGGGCUGCUCCUAGUACGAGAGGACCGGAGUGGACGCAUCACUGGUGUUCGGGUUGUCAUGCCAAUGGCACUGCCCGGUAGCUAAAUGCGGAAAAGAUAAGUGCUGAAAGCAUCUAAGCACGAAACUUGCCCCGAGAUGAGUUCUCCCUGACCCUUUAAGGGUCCUGAAGGAACGUUGAAGACUACGACGUUGAUAGGUCGGGUGUGUAAGCGCAGCGAUGCGUUGAGCUAACCGAUACUAAUGAACCGUGAGGCUUAACCUU
rnacentral:rRNA from 1 species